UACGUAGGGGGCAAGCGUUGUCCGGAAUCAUUGGGCGUAAAGAGCGUGUAGGCGGCUCGAUAAGUCUGCUGUGAAAGUCCAGGGCUCAACCCUGGAAGGCCGGUGGAAACUGUCGGGCUAGAGUCCGGAAGAGGCGAGUGGAAUUCCCGGUGUAGCGGUGAAAUGCGUAGAUAUCAGGAAGAACACCCGUGGCGAAGGCGGCUCUCUGGUACGUGACUGACGCUGAGACGCGAAAGCGUGGGGAGCGAACAGG
rnacentral:rRNA from 1 species